UCCAUGCCCCCACAACCCUGCCGAUCUCGAACUAGGCUAAACCUAACUGUAUUGCCGGUGAGGUCGCCGCCUAGAGAGAGAAGAUGGAAAAUGGAAACCAUGGGUUGGACUGAGUCUCCACGCAAUCUCUGUCGAAGUCGAGCCGCCCGGGUCGCUACCAUUAUCUCCUUUUUUUCGUGCGGAUCGCCCGGAUCAGAGUUAGGCGAUGACAGCAUCGGAGGCCACUUCCUCCGGUCAUGCAUGUCCCUCUGAUCAAGGCACAAAAUCUCACCAGAAUUGUUAGGUCCGUGAUGGUGGAAGAGGAGAUGAGAGGAUGACGAGCAGGUAUGUGUCCCUCCCCCUUCCACGCCUCCCCUAUUUUUGAUUGAUCCACUUACUCGAUCUGGUGUCCAUGUUGGUGGAAGAGGAGUUGAGAGGAUGAGGAGCAGAGGGUCGGAUUUCAGAAAGUGGGAAGAAGCGGAGGCUAGCCAGUUGAAAUUUAUUGUCCUUAUCGUUAGGUCUCCCCCAAUCUCGUCCUUGAAGAACAGCGACCUUGCUCGAUCAGGGCAGCUCGUCAGCUUGCUUGCCAGCUGCAGGCCGAUUAAAUGAGUAUCUCAGGCACGCUGCUGUCCAAGACAUCAUACACGCUUCGGCCCUGCAUCAUUCAUAUCUUCUCCUAGGUGUGUGAGGAGGAGAAAUCAGGAGGACGAGGAGGAGAACAGUGAUCAUGUACAUGCGAAACGAGUUGUCCUCAUUUGUGUGUAAAAACAGUCAGUUUAAAGCUAUACAGAAUAUGGACAAAAUGGGGACAGAAAGCUCAAAGAUGGCAAAAAGGGACCUUCAGGAGAUAUUUCGGUUGACGACAGUACUAUCAACGAGCAUUUAUUUCAUCCACAAUAAAGUUAGAGGAUGAGUCCCGCCCUGCUUGUAAGUAGCUGCUAUAUCAACUUGAUGUUCUUGACUAAGAUCAUGGUAAGCUUUAAUUUAAAAUCAAAUUAUUAUUUAGGUUGUAUUUGUUUUUCUAUUCAGAAACUGCCUUACCUUGGUUUUGUGACACUGUAUUGGGUGUCUUCUUUUCCUUUGAAGUGUUGAGAUGUCAGGUUUGUGGAGAUCUUCAUUGUUCCUUCUUUUUUGAAGCUCACACCGAUGUAACAUGAUAGUUCUCUACCCUAACAAUGUAAUAUUGCGCAUCAAGAUUAUGCAUUAUGAAAUUUGUAUUUUCUUA